AUUGAACGCUGGCGGCAUGCUUUACACAUGCAAGUCGAACGGCAGCGCGGGCUUCGGCCUGGCGGCGAGUGGCGAACGUGUGAGUAAUGCAUCGGAACGUGCCCAGUAGUGGGGGAUAGCCCGGCGAAAGCCGGAUUAAUACCGCAUACGACCUGAGGGUGAAAGCGGGGGACCGAAAGGCCUCGCGCUAUUGGAGCGGCCGAUGUCGGAUUAGCUAGUUGGUGGGGUAAAGGCUUACCAAGGCGACGAUCCGUAGCUGGUCUGAGAGGACGACCAGCCACACUGGGACUGAGACACGGCCCAGACUCCUACGGGAGGCAGCAGUGGGGAAUUUUGGACAAUGGGGGCAACCCUGAUCCAGCCAUGCCGCGUGCGGGAAGAAGGCCUUCGGGUUGUAAACCGCUUUUGUUCGGGAAGAAAUCCUCUGGGCUAAUAACCCGGGGGGAUGACGGUACCGGAAGAAUAAGCACCGGCUAACUACGUG
rnacentral:rRNA from 1 species